GUCACGUGAGUUCCGGCCGCCGCUCGGGUCCGGUCCGGUCGGGUCGGGUCGGGUCGGUACCGUCCCGUCGCUCCGGUGUCUCCCCGUGUUCCCGGGAGGUCACCCUGCGCAAACAGGAAUGGAUUUGCUCUCCGGAGGGCUGGGACAGGACGCGGAAGUCCCCCCCGCGCGGCCUGUGCCGGGCGCGGGCCCCGGCGCCGUGGAUCGUUUCCUGAGCCUGCUGCUCUCCAUCUCCUCGGGCCUGUCGGCCGCGGAGGUGACCUCCAUGAAGUUCCUCUGCCGCAACAUAAUCAAAAAGGGAAAGCGUGAGACGCUGCGAGUCGGCCUGGAGCUCUUCAGCAUCCUGAUGGAGCAGCAGGUGAUCGCGCCCGACAAGCUGGGGUUCCUGAAGGGGCUGCUGCGGGACAUCAGCAGGGGCGACCUGCUGGCACUGGUGGAGCAGUUCGAACAGGGGGAACUUCAGGCCCCCGAGGAUCAGCCGGAUGAGCAUGAAAAACGUCUCCUGAAGGUAGCUUUUGAUGUCAUUCGUGCCAAUGUUGGGAGGGAUUGGAAGAAGCUGAUGCGAGAGCUGGGGCUGCCAGAGGUGAAGCUGGACAAGGUAGAGGCAGCCUAUCGAUAUGACCUGGAGGAAAUGGUUUUCCAGGCACUUCGGGAGUGGCAGAAGUGGAAGGGGAAGGAUGCAAAGGUGGCUGACUUAAUAAAAGCCCUCCAGGGCUGCAACCUGAGAUUGGUGGCAGACUGGGUUGAAGAGAAGAUCUCACAGGUGAACAGUGGAACCAAAUGAAAACAGUGUAAAGCUAUGAAUGAAAAAGGCAGAGUGCCUUUUUCUCUUCUGGACCAAAAUAAUUAUCACUGGCUGCUUAUCAUGCCAUUUAUUUAUGUGCCUUAAUAAGUUAAUUUGUGCUCAGGUGAAACAGACAUGGAAACAGAUGCCUUUCAGAGAGCACUUUGUAGUUUGAUGCUUAUUUCAAGAUAUUUUAACUUUCACAAGAUCUGAACUCCCAUUUUAUAGAAAUUCUCACACUUUUGUUCUGCCACUCACCUGAAAAGAUUUGCUUUGCUGCAGACACUUUUCAGAUGCAUCUCCACUGGAAAUACAUCCAUGGGACACUUCUGAAACAACUGGAAUUUAAAAUCUCAUGGAGAGGUUGGAUUUUUUUUUUUAUAAUGGCCUAUUAUAAAUACAAUGUGAAAGGGAGGAGUAAAGCUUUCAGCUGGGUGCUGGCUUUUCUUUUGGAGUAGCAAAAAAUUAUCUUGGGAAAUUUAUCAAAUAUACUUGCUCUCCAUGAAAGUAUAUUAAGACAACUGUAACCUCAGACUGCAGUGCAAGAGGGACACUAAAUAAUGUGGUGGCUUUCUUGGGAAAAACGUGCCUGGAUUUGAAAUGGAAGUCAAAUGUCUGCCCCAAGUGCCUUCAGCAUCCUGAAGUUCUCCUGAAACUAUCCAAGAGAAGAUGUUCACAGCAGCCUCUUUCCAAAGCUGGGGAUGCUUUGGAGCUUUUUGCUGGGCAUCCUUGCAUGGUCUCUGCCACAGAGACUGCUCGUGUGUGCUGGAAGGUGUGAGCCACUCUCAGGGGGAGCAGGAUUCACCAGCCUCUGUCAGAUGCAGCUCUCAGCUUUCAUCUGGAACAACCUUCAGCCAGUGGCCUUCACACCUGACUUACAGCUGGAGAAAUUGCACAGUUGCACUGUGCAGGAUAUGCAGGGCUGUGGAGACCUCCGGGGGGAGAAUCCCAUGAAACCACUACUGCUUGAACAGCUGUAGGAUCCUGUGUUUCUGCAGACAUCUCCCAAGUGCCUGUCCAGAUACUGGAAGGGGUUUUAUUGCUGCUGCACCUGUGGGAUUUCAGCUCUUUCCAAGCUGUUUUUAUGUGGUGCCAUUGCCGUGAAGGCCGGGUGUCAGCACAUAACCUGUCACUGCUCUGCAGAAACAUUGUAACACUGAUAAUUUUCAUUGCUCAUGGUGCCUUUUGCUCAAACAGUGAGGCUUGAAUACUUUAUUGUACUUAGUGGAAACUGUAAGUCAUUUUAAGUUUACAUGACAGAAAAAUCAUUUCAGUCAGGGGUUUUUUCCCCUUGAAUGAUUCUUUUCCACAUUCCUAGAAGGGCCCCAGGCCAGGCUGGAUGGGACUUGGAGCAACCUGGUCUAGUGGAAGGAGUCAUCGGUUGGAACUGGAUGAUCUUUUAGGCGUCCCCCCCUGCCCAAACCAUUGUGUGCUGAUUCUCAGUAUCUUUCCAAUUUGGUAUAUUUAGUAUCACUGGUUGUAUCCAAGCAAAGGAGUUGCCGCCUGUCUACCUUUUGGAGAAGUUCUUAUUCCCUUUACUUGUAUCAAUUGCCAAUUCCAGGCUCCCAGGAGGAGGUGCUGAGCUGCCGCUGAGUGACAAGCUCAGGUGUUUUGGAGAUUUUUGUUUUAUAGGCAUCAGGAGUAUGCAUUCUGCAGUAAAUAAAGAAAAGGAUUGCUCCAGCAGCUUUUUCUUCCUGCCUCUGAGCAAUCCCUGGGAGCAGAGGAGUGGAAGUGAGCAGGAUGUUAGCAGCUGCAGACACUGAGGAAAUUAUCUAACAGAAAAAAAAAAUCAGAAAUUUUACGUGGACAAAGUAAAAGGAGUUCUGCUAGUGCUUUUCCAGUGCCCUAAAUGAUUCCAGCACCAGGCAGCUGAGUCCCCGCCACUUCAGUCUGCGGCUUCACAGGUCUCAAAACGUUCUAAAAGCUGAAGUCUCAAUAUUGAAGUGAUCCAGGUAGAACCUAAUGGAGAGGAGAGGAGAGGAGAGGAGAGGAGAGGAGCUCAGUGUCUGUAGACUUCACGCUGCAAUCAACCUAGCUUUAUACAGACAGGCCACCUUCCAGCCUCUUCCCUCUCAUCCCUUCUCCCUCAGGCAAAGUGUCUCCUCUGUCUAGCAACCUCUGGAGACUUUUUUUUUAUGGCAACAGAAUGGUCCAGGUCACGUCUAUCUACUGACAAAAGGAUAAUCAGUGCUGCUGGCAAAAAUCCUGUUCUUGCAUCUAUUCAUGUGGAUCUGAAAUGCCUGAAAUGUGUUCAAAAUGCACUUUGCUGCUGUCAUUAAGUCAUCUGUAAA